ACGGAAGGCAGCAGUGGGGAAUAUUGCACAAUGGGCGAAAGCCUGAUGCAGCGACGCCGCGUGAGUGAAGAAGUAUCUCGGUAUGUAAAGCUCUAUCAGCAGGGAAGAAAAUGACGGUACCUGACUAAGAAGCCCCGGCUAACUACGUGCCAGCAGCCGCGGUAAUACGUAGGGGGCAAGCGUUAUCCGGAUUUACUGGGUGUAAAGGGAGCGUAGACGGUUUGGCAAGUCUGAAGUGAAAUGCGGGGGCUCAACUCCUGAACUGCUUUGGAAACUGUCGAACUAGAGUGUAGGAGAGGUAAGUGGAAUUCCUAGUGUAGCGGUGAAAUGCGUAGAUAUUAGGAGGAACACCAGUGGCGAAGGCGGCUUACUGGACUGUAACUGACGUUGAGGCUCGAAAGCGUGGGGAGCAAACAGGAUUAGAUACCCUGGUA
rnacentral:rRNA from 1 species